rnacentral:rRNA from 1 species
UACAGAGGUGGCAAGCGUUGUCCGGAAUUACUGGGCGUAAAGGGCGCGUAGGCGGCCUGCUAAGUCGAACGUGAAAUCCCUGGGCUCAACCCAGGAACUGCGUCCGAUACUGGUUGGCUUGAAUCCGGGAGAGGGAUGUGGAAUUCCAGGUGUAGCGGUGAAAUGCGUAGAUAUCUGGAGGAACACCGGUGGCGAAGGCGACAUCCUGGACCGGUAUUGACGCUGAGGCACGAAAGCCAGGGGAGCAAACGGG